rnacentral:rRNA from 1 species
UAUGCUUAGCCUUAAACCCAGAUGUACUGUUACAUACCCACAUCCGCCAGGGCACUACAAGCACAGCUUAAAACCCAAAGGACUUGGCGGUGCCUCAAACCCACCUAGAGGAGCCUGUUCUAGAACCGAUACCCCUCGUUAAACCUCACCACUUCUUGUUUAUCCCGCCUAUAUACCGCCGUCGUCAGCUUACCCUGUGAAGGCCUAAUAGUAAGCAAAAUGGGUUUACCCAAAAACGUCAGGUCGAGGUGUAGCGUAUGAAGUGGGAAGAAAUGGGCUACAUUUUCUACAACAGAAUACUUACGGACGGCACUCUGAAAACAAUGCCCAAAGGUGGAUUUAGUAGUAAAAAACAAACAGAAAGUCUUUUUGAAUUAGGCUCUGAGGCGC